CCACGUUUGACAUGUCCCGUAUGACCUGGAGAGAUUCGGGUCUUCAGUUCGGCUGGCGGGAACACAGGUGCUGCAUGGCUGUCGUCAGCUCGUGUCGUGAGAUGUUGGGUUAAGUCCGCAACGAGCGCAACCCUCGCUACUAGUUGCUACCAGGUUAAGCUGAGCACUCUAGUGGAACUGCCGGUGGCAAGCCGGAGGAAGGUGGGGAUGACGUCAAGUCCUCAUGGCCCUUACGCGUGGGGCUACACACGUGCUACAAUGGUGGUGACAGAGGGAUAAUCCCUAAAAGCCAUCUCAGUUCGGAUUGUCCUCUGCAACUCGAGGGCAUGAAGUUGGAAUCGCUAGUAAUCGCGGAUCAGCAUGCCGCGGUGAAUACGUUCCC
rnacentral:rRNA from 1 species